rnacentral:rRNA from 1 species
GGGACCCGCACAAGCAGCGGUAGCGUGUGGUUUAAUUCGUUGCUACACGAAGAACCUUACCUGGGUUUGACAUAUAGGUUGUAGGGAACUGAAAAGGGACCGACCCUUCGGGGAGCCUAUACAGGUGUUGCAUGGCUGUCGUCAGCUCGUGUCGUGAGAUGUUCGGUUAAGUCCGCUAACGAGCGCAACCCUCGUCGUAUGUUAUAUGUGUCAUACGAGACUGCCGGUAAAAGCCGGAGGAAGGUGAGGAUGAUGUCAAGUCAGCAUGACCUUUAUAUCCAGGGCUACACACACGCUACAAUGGUCUGUACAAUGGGUAGCCAAGCCGCGAGGCGGAGCCAAUCCUGAAAGCAGGCCUCAGUUCAGAUUGCAGUCUGCAACUCGACUGCAUGAAGCCGGAGUUGCUAGUAACCGCAGGUCAGCAAUACUGCGGUGAAUACGUUCCCGGGUCUU